rnacentral:rRNA from 1 species
UACGUAGAGUGCAAGCGUUAAUCGGAAUUACUGGGCGUAAAGCGUGCGCAGGCGGUUGUGCAAGACAGAUGUGAAAUCCCCGGGCUUAACCUGGGAAUUGCAUUUGUGACUGUACGGCUAGAGUGUGUCAGAGGGGGGUAGAAUUCCACGUGUAGCAGUGAAAUGCGUAGAGAUGUGGAGGAAUACCGAUGGCGAAGGCAGCCCCCUGGGAUAACACUGACGCUCAUGCACGAAAGCGUGGGGAGCAAACAGG